AAAUGGCCUGACAUAAGCGAUGGCUGUUAAAUUGCUGCCCACGCCAAAAGCUACGCAGACGCGGGGCGCUGAAUAAACCCGGAGAGUCACAAGUUACCUUGUGCUGUGGGGGAUUUUUGCGCUCCAGACCAAGAGUAAAGACCACCUCUCGGGAUGUCCUGCCAGGAAUUCACUGAGUCUACACCAUAGACUGUAUAAAAGAAGUCUAAACAUGACUACACACACAUAGGGAAAGCCUACGAGCACUCUCACCAUGAAAGGUCAAAUUAAGCACAUAUAGGUAAUGCUGAUACUGUAGUACUGGUGCUUAUUUUUUGUACUUUAAAGUUGUAAGGAAGCAC